rnacentral:rRNA from 1 species
UAGGGAAUCUUCGGCAAUGGGGGCAACCCUGACCGAACAACGCCGCGUGAGUGAAGAAGGUUUUCGGAUCGUAAAGCUCUGUUGUAAGUCAAGAACGGGUGUGAGAGUGGAAAGUUCACACUGUGACGGUAGCUUACCAGAAAGGGACGGCUAACUACGUGCCAGCAGCCGCGGUAAUACGUAGGUCCCGAGCGUUGUCCGGAUUUAUUGGGCGUAAAGCGAGCGCAGGCGGUUUGCUAAGUCUGCAGGUAAAGGCUGUGGCUCAACCAUAGUUCGCUUUGGUAACUGUCAAACUUGAGUGCAGAAGGGGGGAGUGGAAUUCCAUGUGUAGCGGUGAAAUGCGUAGAUAUAUGGAGGAACACCGGUGGCGAAAGCGGCCCUCUGGUCUGUAACUGACGCUGAGGCUCGAAAGCGUGGGGAGCGAACAGG